GGCGACAUAGCCAAGGGGUAAGGCAGGGGACUGCAAAUCCUUUAUCCUCAGUUCAAAUCUGAGUGUCGCCU
rnacentral:tRNA from 1 species